AUUGAUGCAUUGCAAACUGGUUUUGGCUCGUAAACGGCUUGUUGAGUAUGGCCAUGGUUAGGAUUAGUAACUCUGAAUUUGGUAGGCGGCAAAGUUGCUAGAUUUAGGAUUAUUUGUGUUAGCUUUUUGUGUGUUGUAUUGUCAUGAAGGUUCUAUUUUGUGAAUUUGAAAAUUGGAUGUAACAAAUGAGAAUCCGCUGUAAUUUCGGGAAUUGCCCAAGGUUGUAGCAGCUUUGAAAUGUGAAUGUGUUGGUUUGAAUUUUGCAUUUCGUUUCAAACAUUGUAAUCAAAGGUCCGUGAAAUGAAGCAAUGGCUUUGGUUUGAAUGAGUCA
rnacentral:lncRNA from 1 species